rnacentral:miRNA from 1 species
GGUCAGCUGACACAUCCCUGCCAAUCUCCGGCAGACCCUCCCUCCCAGACCCACCCACCUCCUGGACAGCAUCCAUGUUGAAGCCGCCUUCAACAUGAAUGCUGUCCAGGAAGUAGGAGGGUCUGGGAGGGAGGGUCUGCUGGAGAUUGGCCGGGAUGUGUCAGCUG